CAAAUAAUUUGUGAUUGUAUGGGCUUUUUUUUUCUCUUCAA
rnacentral:sRNA from 1 species